GUACAGUUCGAAGGGAAUCUUGAAGGGAAACGCACGUCAUUCUUCUCAUCUGACACACUGACAUCAUCUGAGGAUUACAGAUAAGUAGAGUUUGUGAUGGUACUGGAGUUCCUUGCCUUACGAUCCUGUAUAUAAGGCUUACGUAGUCUUGAAUUACUGUAAGGGAGUUUAAUUUUGUGAGAUAACGAUUGAAUAAGGUUGAGGACUAGAGUUAGAAAAGAGAAAAGGUAGUGAGUAUUGAAUUUCUUUCCCGUACGAUCAUAUAUAUAAGGGGAUUACGUAGUCUUGAGUUACUGUAAGGGAGUUGAAUUUUGUGAGAUAACGAUUGAGUAAGCUUAAGGACUAGAGUUAGAAAAGAGAAAAGGUAGUGAGUAUUGAAUUUCUUUCCCGUACGAUCAUAUAUAUAAGGGGAUUACGUAGUCUUGAAUUACUGUAAGGGAGUUUAAUUUUGUGAGAUAACGAUUGAGUAAACUUAAGGACUAGUUAGAAAAGAGAAAAGGUAGUGAGUAUUGAAUUUCUUUCCCGUACGAUCAUAUAUAUAAGGGGAUUACGUAGUCUGGAGUUACUGUAAGGGAGUUGAAUUUUGUGAGAUAACGAUUGAGUAAGGUUAAGGACUAGAGUUAGAGAAGAGAAAAGGUAGUGAGUAUUUAAUUUCUUUCCCGUACGAUCAUAUAUUUAUAAGGGGAUUACGUAGUCUGGAGUUACUGUAAGGGAGUGAAUUUUGUGAUGGAACGAUUAAGGUUGUUAAGGAUUAGGAGAUAGAAAAGAGAAAAGGAAGUGAGUAUUUGAAAUCCUUGCCUUACGAUCUUGUAUAUAAGGGGCUUACGUAGUCUUGAGUUCCUGUAAGGGAGUUUAAUUUUAUGAGGGAACGAUUGAGUAAGCUUGUUAAGGAUUAGAAAGUUAGAAAAAGGAAGCGAGUAUUGGAAUUCCUUGCCUUACGAUCUUGUAUAUAAGGCUUACGUAGUCUUAAAUUACUGUAAGGGAGUUGAAUUUUAGGAGUGAACGAUUGAGUAAGCUUGUUAAGGAUUAGAAAGAGUUAGAAAAAGGGAGUGGGUAUUGAAUUUCCUUGCCUUACGAUCUUGUAUAUAAGGCUUACGUAGUCUUAAGUUACCGCAAGAGUUUAAUUUAAUGUGAGGGAACGAUUGAGUAGCUUGUUAGAGGUUAGGAAGAGUUAGAAAAAAGUUAGUAUUAAAAUUCCUUUCAUUAGAAUCUUCUUAGUACUUUGCAGAUAA